UAUUACUAUACAUCUGUUCUGUGCUGGGCCUAGACUUUUUUCUAAGCUGAGCAAUUAAGAGUUCUUAAGAGUUCUCAAAAGUUCAGGUGUCAGAACAGUUAAGCUCUUCAUUACAUGUAAGAUGAAUAAACUUCACAGUCUCUUAAAAAAUAGCAAAAACUGAGAGUGGGCACAAAACAAUGGGAUUGCCAGGCACCUAAUAAAUAUUGUCCUAUUACAUUGUAAAAGUGUUCUCAGCACUGUGCAGCCGUUAAGUAUCUGAAAUAUCUUCCAGACACUAUCCAUGCUGCCUCUGUUAUCCUGAUUCACAUCAGUUACAUUGACUGCUGCAACUGCAAGGGUUUGUUCCUUCCUAGCGGAAAGGAAGAGAAGCAAGAUAGACUAACGUUUCUCGGCUCCAGAUACACUCUUUGGUAUGAAUCAUCGAAUCAUUAAGGUUGGAAAAGACCAAUAAGAUCAUCUAGUCCAACCAUCAACCCACCACCAUCAUGUCUGGUAAAUCAUGUCCUUCAGUGCCAUAUCCAAACAAUUCUUGAACACCUCCAGGGAUGGUGACCUCCUUAGAUCCAGAGGGAGAAUAGAUGAUAGUGAAGACCAGUGGCUAUAUGGCAGGGAAGAACAGAUUUGGAGGUGCUGAAAAGCAAUAAUCUAGGCAACAAAUCUCAGCAUAUAGUGUGGUAGCAGUGCUUCAUUCUCCAGCUAGCAUCGAGAUAGUACAAAUCUGUUUUCUCAGUCUUUUUCUUUGUUGCUGUACUUCAAAUAAAGUCAACUUUGCUUCCAUGAGGGAACUGUGUGUGACUGAGAUUGCAAUGGAAACUUUCUAUCUAUGGAAAUACAGUUAUACCAACCUUGCUGGAAGCAAUGCUGUGUCUUUUUUGUGCCAUGUCUUCACCCAUUACUAUUCAUAGCCAGAGACACCAGCAGAUCUAACUGUCUUGGCCCACUUUUUGUGCAGUUUUGGUAAUUUAGCUGGACUUGGUCAUUAAGCAAGCAAAUUUCCAACAGUUAGAGAGCUGAGUGGUUGUGCAGUGUCUGCUGCUGCUCAAAAUGCAGGCACUAAAAACAAUGGAAUGAUACCUGCAUCCCUGUGCAAAAUGAGCCUGACUUGGAAGCACCACCUUGCCUCUUCCUUCACUGACGUAAGUAGAGAACUGGUGUAAGUACAAGACAUUGUUGAAUCGACCCAGGAAAUAGAUCCAUUUUUGGAUGCAAGGAUACAAUCCCUACACAGACGUGGAAGACAGUCCAGGCCCUGUGUCAUUUUGUUCCUUGCCAUGUAUUCUGAACAGCACAUAAGUAAAUAGGUCUAAAAGCCACUGGACACAGUACACAGGCUGGCUAUCAGAGCCCGUCUCCAGACAGCUCUGCACUCCCUUGGUUUGAAAUAAUUCUGUUUGCAAGCGAAAGAAACAUUCCUAGCCUUCAAGCAGCGCUGACGCAUUCCAAGUUUAACAGUCUGUGGAAAAAAGAGAAGCAUGAGGACAGCUUACAUUCUGGAGCUGAGGAUAAAGAAAUUCAGAUCAGAAUCCAAUGCCAGGGUAAGUUUAUACAUGGAUGCUGUAGACUUGCUGUCACUUGCAGCUUGAAGUUGCAGCUGGCUUUCUGAAAAGGUGCUGGGGUUCAAAUAGUCGCGCUGGGCUUGAUGCAGAAAUUGCACUGUGCUGCUCCAUGGCUUGUUCUAUGCAUAUGGGAAAACAUGAUUCAUAUCUAGCCUUAAAAUCUUUGGCUCUG
rnacentral:lncRNA from 1 species